UUCCGUAGGUGAACCUGCGGAAGGAUCAUUACCGAGUGCGGGUCCUUUGGGCCCAACCUCCCAUCCGUGUCUAUUGUACCCUGUUGCUUCGGCGGGCCCGCCGCUUGUCGGCCGCCGGGGGGGCGCCUCUGCCCCCCGGGCCCGUGCCCGCCGGAGACCCCAACACGAACACUGUCUGAAAGCGUGCAGUCUGAGUUGAUUGAAUGCAAUCAGUUAAAACUUUCAACAAUGGAUCUCUUGGUUCCGGCAUCGAUGAAGAACGCAGCGAAAUGCGAUAACUAAUGUGAAUUGCAGAAUUCAGUGAAUCAUCGAGUCUUUGAACGCACAUUGCGCCCCCUGGUAUUCCGGGGGGCAUGCCUGUCCGAGCGUCAUUGCUGCCCUCAAGCCCGGCUUGCGUGUUGGGUCGCCGUCCCCCUCUCCGGGGGGACGGGCCCGAAAGGCAGCGGCGGCACCGCGUCCGAUCCUCGAGCGUAUGGGGCUUUGUCACAUGCUCUGUAGGAUUGGCCGGCGCCUGCCGACGUUUUCCAACCAUUCUUUCCAGGUUGACCUCGGAUCAGGUAGGGAUACCCGCUGAACUUAAGCAUAUCAAUAAGCGGAGGA
rnacentral:rRNA from 1 species